rnacentral:rRNA from 1 species
CGGACGGGUGAGUAAUGUCUGGGAAACUGCCUGAUGGAGGGGGAUAACUACUGGAAACGGUAGCUAAUACCGCAUAACGUCGCAAGACCAAAGAGGGGGACCUUAGGGCCCCUUGCCAUCGGAUGUGCCCAGAUGGGAUUAGCUAGUAGGUGGGGUAACGGCUCACCUAGGCGACGAUCCCUAGCUGGUCUGAGAGGAUGACCAGCCACACUGGAACUGAGACACGGUCCAG